CACGUAGGGGGCGAGCGUUGUCCGGAUUCAUUGGGCGUAAAGAGCUCGUAGGCGGCUCAGUAAGUCGGGUGUGAAACCCUCAGGCUCAACCUGGGAACUGCGCUCGAUACUGCGGAGCUCGAGUACGAGAGAGGGGGGUGGAAUUCCAGGUGUAGCGGUGAAAUGCGUAGAGAUCUGGAGGAACACCGGUGGCGAAGGCGGCCCCCUGGUUCGAUACUGACGCUGAGGUGCGAAAGCGUGGGGAGCAAACAGG
rnacentral:rRNA from 1 species